UAGAGUUUGAUCAUGGCUCAGAUUGAACGCUGGCGGCAGGCCUAACACAUGCAAGUCGAGCGGAAACGAGAAUAGCUUGCUAUUCGGCGUCGAGCGGCGGACGGGUGAGUAAUGCCUGGGAAAUUGCCCUGAUGUGGGGGAUAACCAUUGGAAACGAUGGCUAAUACCGCAUAAUAGCUUCGGCUUAAAGAGGGGGACCUUCGGGCCUCUCGCUUCAGGAUAUGCCCAGGUGGGAUUAGCUAGUUGGUGAGGUAAAAGCUCACCAAGGCGACGAUCCCUAGCUGGUCUGAGAGGAUGAUCAGCCACACUGGAACUGAGACACGGUCCAGACUCCUACGGGAGGCAGCAGUGGGGAAUAUUGCACAAUGGGCGCAAGCCUGAUGCAGCCAUGCCGCGUGUAUGAAGAAGGCCUUCGGGUUGUAAAGUACUUUCGGCAGUGAGGAAGGGUGUGUAGUUAAUAGCUGCAUACUUUGACGUUAGCUGCAGAAGAAGCACCGGCUAACUCCGUGCCAGCAGCCGCGGUAAUACGAAGGGUGCGAGCGUUAAUCGGAAUUACUGGGCGUAAAGCGCAUGCAGGUGGUUUGAUAAGUCAGAUGUGAAAGCCCGGGGCUCAACCUCGGAACCGCAUUUGAAACUGGCAGGC
rnacentral:rRNA from 1 species